GUUGAACGCUAGCGGGAUGCUUUACACAUGCAAGUCGAACGAGUUGCGGACGGGUGAGUAAUAUAUAAGAACGUGCCCAGUAGCGGGGGAUCACUACUCGAAAGAGUGGCUAAUACCGCCUACUAUUGGUACGGCCGAUAUCGGAUUAGCUAGUGGGUGGGGUAAAGGCUAACCAAGGCAACGAUCCGUAGCUGGUUUGAGAGGACGACCAGCCACACUGGGACUGAGACACGGCCCAGACUCCUACGGGAGGCAGCAGUGGGGAAUUUUGGACAAUGGGGGAAACCCUGAUCCAGCCAUCCCGCGUGUAUGAGAAGGCCUUCGGGUUGUAAAGUACUUUUGGCAGAGAAGCGGUAUCUGCAGAAUAAGCACCGGCUAACUACGUGCCAGCAGCCGCGGUAAUUC
rnacentral:rRNA from 1 species